GUCUGAAAAUAACUUGUUUCUUUUUCGUUUUGCCCUGAGAAAACAAAUGAAUGCCCUGUUGACAGACUUCUAUAGGGAAGACUUCAUUUCAGAUCAGCAUCUGAAAUGUUUGUAGGUCUGCUAUCAGGCUUGGUGUCCUCCACUGGACUCCUCCUUUGCAAACUAUAUUUCUCUGCUGAAAUUAAGUGACUUUCAGGUAAUGUGCUUCAUUAAAGAAAUACGAAAUCAAGAACUUUAGGGCUGGGACAUCUUUAUAGUUGUGCUGUCUAAGGUGAAACCUUCCUAACUGUAUUUGUUUUCUUCUAGGAUGACAGUGUAGCCUUCUAGAUUUGUACAAAAUCAUGCCCAAAGAACUCAGUCCCUAGAGCCAGAAGUCCUCAGAUACUGAAAAGUUCCUGCAGCUCAGGAUGUAGUGGACAUCAUGGUCCUUUUCCCUUGCUCUCUUUUCUUGAAGAAAGUAGGAGACAGCAGGGAAAACAGAUGAUCUUAGGCAAACCCAUGUGCAGCUCUAAACUGUGA
rnacentral:lncRNA from 1 species